ensembl:misc_RNA
GGAUGUGCCGGCCUGGUGGCUUGCCCGAUUUGCACGGUGACUUGAUUACACGCUCGCAUCCAUGGUCACUUCCGAAGAGCUUUAGUGCCUUCCGACUCGAAACCGCCAACCGUCGCGGCAGCUUCCCCCGCGGUUUGCCUGGGAUCCGCAGGGCCCGGGAGGGCGUUCGUUUUACCCGGGAUCCUC